AUUACAAAGCUCAUUGGAAUUACAGGAGUGGUCAAUUGCCUCAACUUGCCCUUUAUUGCAGGCAACCAUGCUGAGAAUGAAAUCUAGUCUAUGGUGAAACUCAACAAAUAGUGCAUGUAUUCCAGCACAAAAUGCUAUAAAACAGUGAUUUGAUGAUUGUCAUAGUUGUGUCUACUGCAUCAUCUGGGAUCCAUUCCUGGGUCGUUUACUACAAACCGAGCAAUUGUUCGAGCAGAGACGAUUUGGUUUCUCUGCUCCAAUUGUAAUCUUUGCGGCAUAUAUUUCUUCUUUAACAGCAGUUUAGAACAUCAGAUCAGUGUUCCCAUGGAACACAAUCAUUAAAUUUUUAUACUUGAAGAAUUAUUAAUGAGAGAAAAGCAC